ACCCACAUACAUCUUCAUUCAUACACACUGAAUAGAAACGCUUUUGCGUUUUUGUUUCUAGCACACUUAAAACAGCAUUUCAAAGAUGUGCUAAAAACAAAAACACAAAAGCAUUUUUAUUCUGUGUGUAUGAAUGCAGAUGCAUGUGGGU